rnacentral:rRNA from 1 species
GUGGCGCACGGGUGCGUAACGCGUGGGAAUCUGCCCUUGGGUUCGGAAUAACAGUUGGAAACGAUUGCUAAUACCGGAUGAUGUCGUAAGUCCAAAGAUUUAUCGCCCAAGGAUGAGCCCGCGUAGGAUUAGCUAGUUGGUGAGGUAAAGGCUCACCAAGGCGACGAUCCUUAGCUGGUCUGAGAGGAUGAUCAGCCACACUGGGACUGAGACACGGCCCAGACUCCUACGGGAGGCAGCAGUAGGGAUUAUUGGACAAUGGGCGAAAGCCUGAUCCAGCAAUGCCGCGUGAGUGAUGAAGGCCUUAGGGUUGUAAAGCUCUUUUACCCGAGAUGACAAUGACAGUACCGGGAGAAUAAGCCCCGGCUAACUCCGUGCCAGCAGCCGCGGUAAU